rnacentral:misc_RNA from 1 species
UAUCCACAUUUCAUAUAUAUACAAGAUUUUCUCUUAAUUUUUGUACCACCAAGAAAAAAAGGAGACAGCAAAGUUUUCAGGCUUUUUAUUCGUAAAAGUAAAUAUUAUACCUCGAAAUUCACAACUAAAAAUAUCUAUAUUCACAUUCAAACUCAUCAGAAGAGACAUACAUAUACUACAGAUUUGCACAGAAGUAUUGAACUAUACUAUUCAGUGAAAAAUCCAACAGAAGAAACUUCAAAUUUUUUUGGACAAAUUUAUCGUCAAUUACUUACUGAAUGGAUAUAUUUUAAUUAUUAAUAACAAUAUAAAUUCAUGGCAUAUAAUGAAAAAAACUCCAUCACUGCUCUAAACAACAAUAUCACAUUAAUAACACAUUUUAUCAAUAGUAAUAGAAAUUGAUCUCUUCAUGAUGAGUACAGGAUUUAUAUUAUAAAGUGAUUUAUUAUAUAUCUAUAUAAACUACAUUUAAAAUGCAAACAAAUAUAACGAUAGAAUUCGAUGUACAUUAAUUAAACAAUUAGAUUAUUAAUAAAUGCUAUUAUAUACGAAGGUUUAAUGUUAUACUAAUUGUCAUUAACUAAUAUAAUAAUUAUGUCCUACAAUUAUAUUAUUUAUUUCCUUUUUUUUUUAAGCAUAAGUUAAUACAAGAUUCAUAAAUAUUUUGAUAAAUUUGUCCAGUUCUGAAAGUAAUAUGUUCUAUAAUACACGAAAUGUAAACGAAUGCACUCAAGACAGAGAAAGAGCUACCUGGUCAACUUUGAGUAUUUCACAGAUGAAAUUAGUAAUCAUCGAGGUCAACAUCAUCAAGAGGCUCAUCAGCCUGCAGUGACUGGAAAUCAACUUUGUAGCGGAGGAUUCCUAUGCAUCAAGAUCUCCAAUGCCACCAAAACCUCUUACAAACUGAGAGCCUUCUUGAGAUUUAUCUGUAAUAAUUUCCAAAGUGGCACCGAAGCUCUUGUAGUUGUUUGCUAACCACUCAAGUAAAGGCUGACAUUCUACAAGUUCCAAUUCUACUCCACUCUAAACACAACAAAAAAGUAUUCUAUAUUAAUUAGUUGCGUUUAUUUAAUUAAUUUUAUUAAUCAAAUGGUUAAAAUUGUUUAAUUUACCUCUUUGUCAGUAAAAUGAGUUUUAUCUUUUUCCUGUUCUGGUGUUAGGUGUAAAACCUUCUCUUCUGCAUUUGUAUGAUUCUUUAAAACGUACCGUUGAAUAUCUAAAUUCUCCCAACAAAUGAGAGUCUCUACACUGCCUAGCUCUAAUGCUCUUAACGUAUCUUCUACGCCAAAACAAUAUUUCCCUGUAUCUUGUGAGAUUUCAUCGAAAUAACGGCCUAGAUAAAGUAAUAUAAUACAGUCCCCAGUUUUUAAAUGAGUUAAUAAUUUUGUCUUCUACAUGUUUAUAUUUAAAAAAUUUCUUUAGAGUAUGUAUACUAACCAAUUAAUUUUUUUUCCUGAAUAAACUUUACAUUUUGUAAAGAUUCAGCAGCCAACUCAAUAGCUUGAUUAAAACCAUUCUCUCCACCAUAUGAAACAUCUACUAACUUUAUAACCUUUGCUUGCAAUCUCUAAAAUAAUAAAAAUAUGCAAAGAUAUUUUUACAAAUUUAAUUAUAUAUACGUAUAUUUAUAAUAUCAAUUUACAUGAACUUACAGGAUCAAACAUGUCCGAUUGACUAAGUUCUGUUUUAAAGUCGGCACUGCCUGCUAAAAUUAAACCAGCAAUAUUAGGUUUGUCAUUAGUAAUAUAUAAUUGGGUAGCUACUUCUGCAACUUUUCGAACGUAAUUAUGCCGCUUUUCCAUACGCAACCGAGCAAAACGAAGCGCUGACUGUCCUCCUCUGCCUGGAAUUAGAUUUUUUGUAAAUAAAGUAUAC